rnacentral:lncRNA from 1 species
CUUAUGUCUGCAUAGGAAAGUCACCAUGUACCCACUGGAGAGGGCCAAGAGACCUACAAAGAUGACAUCUCUGACAGUUAAUAAUAUAUAAAAUGUAUGCCUGACGGAGUAACUCAUGGGUUCGAGAGAGCAAGAUUCAGUGAGGAGACACUCUGCAGGAAGCUGUGUGCCUGGUCCAUGGUAGGCACUGUAAGAGAUAUGUGUGAGAGAGUACAUGUGACUGUUAUCACUGCAGACAAAGCUAUGGUGAGAAAUAUCAGUUGCUGGAAUGAUACAGAAGCUCUCUGGCUUUUGGCUGAGCAUAAAAACUACAUUUCCCAAUAUCCUUUGCAGGAAACUUCACCCAGGAGUUCACAACACUGGAGCUGCCUAUGUGGCCGAUUGCCAGAGUUGAGCACACAUGGUGCUGGCCAAAAAGGGGCUUAGCUUUCCCAGGAGAGACUAAGAGCAAGAAUUGGACAAGCAGAGAACAGUCUUCAAAUGAAUGUUUGGGACACAUUUGUCACAACAUUUUAUUAUAGAACAAUGACAUUCUGAUAUAUUUAGAUUCUUGUCAUUUUUUACUUAAUCUUUGUGUGUGUGUGUGUGUGUGUGUGUGUGUGUGUGUGUGUGUGUGUGUGUGUGUGUUUCAUGUCUGUUAAUAUAGACACCUAUGUUUCAUGAUAUGUAGAGGUCAGAAUUCAACCUGUUAUAAUGGUCCAGACUUUCCACUUGGUUUAAGGCUGGGUCUCUUGUCAUCUCCAUGGUAUGGACCAGUCUUAACUGUAGUGGAGACUCUGUGAAUUCCCCUCCCUUCUACCCAAAAGAACUCUGGGAUGGAAGAUGCCGUUGUCUGAUAUUGUGUGGAUAUCUGAACUCAGGUCCUUGUUCUGCAGUGAAACCUUUACCAAAUGAACUUCAGGGGAACUAGAGAGAAUUCUGGG